GAACGCACAUUGCGCCCCUUGGUAUUCCGGGGGGCAUGCCUGUUCGAGCGUCAUUUCAACCCUCAAGCUCUGCUUGGUCUUGGGCCGCGCCGGCAACGGCGGGCCUCAAAAACAGUGGCGGCGCCAUCGUGUCCCUCAGCGUAGUAAUUCUUCUCGCUGUUGGGCCCCGGUGGCCGCUGGCCAGCAACCCCCAAAUUUUCUAUGGUUGACCUCGGAUCAGGUAGGGAUACCCGCUGAACUUAAG
rnacentral:misc_RNA from 1 species